AGCGAACGCUGGCGGCAGGCUUAACACAUGCAAGUCGAGCGCCCCGCCAGGGGAGCGGCAGACGGGAGAGUAACACGUGGGAACAUACCUUUUGGUUCGGAACAACUGAGGGAAACUUCAGCUAAUACCGGAUAAGCCCUUACGGGGAAAGAUUUAUCGCCGAAAGAUUGGCCCGCGUCUGAUUAGCUAGUUGGUGAGGUAACGGCUCACCAAGGCGACGAUCAGUAGCUGGUCUGAGAGGAUGAUCAGCCUCACUGGGACUGAGACACGGCCCAGACUCCUACGGGAGGCAGAAGUGGGGAAUAUUGGACAAUGGGGGCAAUCCUGAUCCAGCCAUGCCGCGUGAGUGAUGAAGGCCUUAGGGUUGUAAAGCUCUUUUGCCCGGGAAGAUAAUGACGGUACCGGGAGAAUAAGCCCCGGCUAACUUCGUG
rnacentral:rRNA from 1 species